rnacentral:rRNA from 1 species
UACGGAGGGUGCAAGCGUUAAUCGGAAUUACUGGGCGUAAAGCGUGCGCAGGCGGUUUGGUAAGUCCGCUGUGAAAUCCCCGAGCUCAACUUGGGAAUUGCAGUGGAUACUGGCAAGCUGGAGUAUGGUAGAGGAAGGUGGAAUUCCCGGUGUAGCAGUGAAAUGCGUAGAGAUCGGGAGGAACACCAGUGGCGAAGGCGGCCUUCUGGACCAAUACUGACGCUCAUGCACGAAAGCGUGGGGAGCAAACAGG